CGGGGGUGCGGCGGGCGGGGCCAGACAUGGAGACAUUACUUCACUUGUCCUCCACUUGCCAAGAUCAGAAUCUGAAUUGGGGAUCCACAUCCAUUGCCCAUGCAAAUUUUGCCAGAAGAGAUUUGUUGAAUAUCUUUUCAAUGGGAACUUCAUGUCGCUUGCACCAUGCUACUGUGAUCCUAGGAUCAAGGUAAUUGAUUUUGGACGUGCCUAAAGCCACAGUUUUCAGAUCCUCUUUGGUCUUCAUAGCCAAUUCCAUUUUCUCAAUCUUCUGAUUGGUUGAUGCUAUCUUUUUCUCUAUGGCUUCGGGAGUGAGGUUCCUCUUUCGCUUUCCAGCUGCAUCCUUUAAUGGAGGC
rnacentral:misc_RNA from 1 species